GAUUUUCGUGAUCAUUUCUUUUUCCUGAAUGAUUAUUUUUUAAAUGAUGUUGCAUUCUUCUGAAUCUGUAUGCAGUCACAUUAACAUAUAAAAGUCAAUAAGGACAAUAGCUCUUUAUUCAUCUUUCAAAAACAAGUUCCAGUCCUUGAUUCUGAUGGGUCUAUAGCUGUGAUUUAUUUAUGAUAAAACACAUCUAUGAUCGCUGCACUUAAUAACAUUCUGUUAUGCUGUGUCCACACCAAACGCGAAGCAUCACGUUCCUUGCUCUAGAUUUCUUGCGGGAUUUCACUUUGCGUCAUGCGAAUUUUCCACUUGAGUUGGCGCCGCCCAAUUCGCGUCAUCCACAUCUUUGCAUUAACUUUUUAUGUAAUCUACUAGCAUAAACCCCUCUUUAACUGGGAUAGAUGUACUAGCUGAGAGUAAGGUGAUGGGGUGAAGGAGGGAUGCUAAAAAACUGUCAUGGGACAGAGGUGAGGGAUGGCUAUAUAUGACAACUCUUUGUGCUGACUGGUUGGAUUACAUGACCAUGCUCCUCCCGAAUAAUUUAAAUAAACUUCAAAUUAUAUGCAUUUACAUUAAGCAGAUGCUUUUAUCCAAAGCUACUUACCAAAAUUUGAUGAGAAUAAAGUGAUUUGUCAUACACUCUUAGGUAAAAGGUACAAAAGUUGGCACUGGGACGGUACCUUUAAAAAUACUGUAUAGAUAGAUGGAUAGAUAGAUUGCAGUGGCGGCCGGUGACUUCUUUUUUCGAGCGCGCUCGAUGUGAAGUUCGUCACAACAUGUAUGUAGUCCGUCAUGUGUGUGGUUCGUCAUUUCAAAAUAUGUGUUCUGCGCAUCUGGUGAUCCUAUGUGCCUGCAGCAGACGUGUCUAAAGGGUUUAUGAUAAAAGAGACGCUCGCGUUUGCCAGAUAUUCGCAUAAUCUCAUGCAUAAUCAGAGUUUAGUGUUAAGGGAGUGUAUUGUGUGUAUUUUGUGAACGUGAGCGUCUCUUUUAUCAUAAAUGGUUUUGACGCGUGUGCAGCAGACACUUAUUUUGACAAAUCACAUGCUGCACAUGGUUCACAUUACGCAACAAACACAUAUUUUGAAAACACAAGCAACACACAUGACACACCAAAGGAAAUGUACAAACGUGAAUCAGACCAUAGGUGCCCUUUGAAAAACAUAAAUAUUGAAAAAAAAAAUCCACAAUAAAGUAACAAACUCUGAUUCAGCAGUCUUACUGUUUCCUAUUGCGAUGCGUCUCUCCAGUCUGACGCAAUCGUUGAGUUAAAGUGACCCAAAAAUGGAAACUCAUCACUGUCAUCACUACUUACUGUCAGGCCAUUUAAAUUUAUAUGAUGUGUUUGCUUCCAGAGAACUCAAAAUAAUCAAACUGAAACUGAGACCAAACAUUCUGUCUAACAUCUACAGAUUUAAAACAUGUUCAGGUGAGCUUCACAAAGACCAGACAGUGAAGAAAUGGCAUCGCUCAGGUGAACCGCAUGACCGCACGCUGUACCGGAGCCAAAGCUUUCUCCCAGGGUUUGGUUGUGUACAGUCGAACACCUGCAUGCGCACCCGUACUGCUGAUGGCUGUUAAUUUCCUGAAAGAUGUGGCUUUGCGCUGAAGGGAAACCAGCGAUGUACAACACAGUUUACGCUGGAGCCCAGCUGCCUGUUUGGAAACCACGCAAUGAGGAUGAAUUGUGUUAGGACAAAUACCGUUUGCUUUGAGCUACGCCCACUUGGCCCCCCUAGAAGCCUUUUAACCAUAAUGAUAAAUUCUCGCACAUUCAAAUGAAAUGGAGCAUCUGACGUAUUGUGAGUUUAAGGGGAAUUUUGUUGUUAUCUUCACAAGUACUUCCUCAUACCAACGGCAUUAACAAAAACAAUACAAGAAAAUGAUUUUGCCUUUUUCAAUAGACAAAAAACAAGCCUGUGUGUCUUAACCUCACAUUAACCAGACAGGAGAAUGAGAUUACCUAUGUCAUUAUUAAUAAUUGUAUGCACUUGGACAGUAACCAUUGCAUUACAGUAAGUAAAUGUUUCUCCAGCAGCCAUUCAGUACGAGAUAAAAAAAAUCUGUGUUUAUGUGGGUUUGAUAAGGAAUGAUUUGCAAAUACAAAUGAGAUAUAAAACAUAUUACACAUAUUAAGUGAUAUUGAAAAUUUCCCCCAUGCAUUAACAGUUCAUGUCACAGCAUGGUUAACUGAGUCAUAUAAAUAAGUGCACGUGCAGUCACAUGCACACAAGCUGAACGACUAAAUGUAAAAAGAUAUGGAAUUAUGCCACAGUUUACGGCAGGUUGUGGAAGGUACCGUACUUUCCAUCUACUGAUGAACACUGAUAGGUCGAUAAUUUGGAGGAAGAGAGAGUUUCCAGUUCUCAUGCAAAACAAAUGAAUUCUUUGUAUUGUCUCGGGCCUUAAUGCUUACCAAGAGGUUUACAGUAUGGUUAUAUUUCAGCUUACAAUUCGUAUGACUUUCAAUGGUGUAAUCCAACAUAUAUUUAUUGCUUUUAAAAUAAGAUGAGGCUUAAUGAUAAGGUAAACAUCUUUUCAUGAUGCAUUGCAAUAAUGGUUGUUUUCAUUGUAAUGAAUGUGUAAAGAGCCUAAACAUUUAUUAACAGUUUCCUUUCUGUAUAUUUAACAAGACAAUAUUUGUAAUUAGUUCUCAUUUGAUUGAUUCUCUUUGUCUUUUUUGCUCUUAUUUGUUAAGUACUUAUGCAUGUUUUACAGUGUUCCCAUGGGUCCUUGAAAUCCUUGAAAGUUUGUGAAUUUUAGGGGGAAAAUUCAAAGCCCUGGGAAAUUUUUGAAAAUAUACAUACAUAGUUACAGGUCAUUGAAAGUGCUUGAAUCUAUUUUAUGCAAGAGAAAUCCAUAUUAUUCCCUGUGUAGUGCUAAACUUUUCGCUUGAAAUGCUUAUAUCUUCUGUAUUCAAAUGUUGAUACAUACCAAAAUGCUUUUUUGCAUAGUUGUGUUUGACAAAUAAAAACAUCUCGGGUUACGUAUGUAACCGUUGUUCCUUGAGAAGGGAACGAGACGCUGCGUCUCCCUUGCCAUUCCUGCAUCCCUGUAACGCCGUCUUUGGCAAUAUUUCAGAUAGCAAUAUACUUCCUGGCUUCCACGUCACCCUGUCUUUGUCGUUAAGCCAUUGGUUGAAUUUGAUAUACACAUUCAGAUGCCAUUACCCUUGAAGGCGUCCCCAAAGUGUCACUGCAGUGACGCAGCGUGAGUUCCCUCGAAAGGGAACCGUAACAAUGUAUCUUAAAAGGUAACACAAUUGCUCUCACUUGAAAUGUGUCCCCACAUUUAGUCCUUGAAUUUGAGGGUAUUAGACCUGGAAAGUCCUUGAAAGGUCCUUGAAUUUGAAGUUAACUAAGGUAUGGGAACCCUGGUUUUAUGCAUUACAUGAAAGACAAUUUUAUGCACAAUAUUUGUGCAUAUCUGAUGCAUUGUGUAAUUUAUUCUUCACAUAUCUUUGGUAUUUAUUUUAUGAUUUAUAUGAUCUGUUGGUAUUUUUAUUGGUUUACUUUCAGCCAAUCAUUAAAG